rnacentral:rRNA from 1 species
AUUGAACGCUAGCGGGAUGCUUACACAUGCAAGUCGAACGAGUGGCGGACGGGUGAGUAAUAGAUGGGAACGUGCCUAGUGGCGGGGGAUAACUACUCGAAAGGGUGCUAUAACGCAUACCAUUGGAGCGGACGAUAUCGGAUUAGCUAGUUGGUGGGGUAAAGGCUCACCUAGGCGACGAUCCGUAGCUGGUUUGAGAGGACGACCAGCCACACUGGGACGGAGACACGGCCCAGACUCCUACGGGAGGCAGCAGUGGGGAAUUUUGGACAAUGGGGGAAACCCUGAUCCAGCCAUCCCGCGUGUAUGAUGAAGGCUUCGGGUUGUAAAGUACUUUUGGCAGAGAAGCGGUAUCUGCAGAAUAAGCACCGGCUAACUACGUGCCAGCCGCCGCGGUAAUAC